UACGUAGGUGGCGAGCGUUAUCCGGAAUGAUUGGGCGUAAAGGGUGCGUAGGUGGCAGAUCAAGUCUGGAGUAAAAGGUAUGGGCUCAACCCGUACUGGCUCUGGAAACUGAUCAGCUAGAGAACAGAAGAGGACGGCGGAACUCCAUGUGUAGCGGUAAAAUGCGUAGAUAUAUGGAAGAACACCGGUGGCGAAGGCGGCCGUCUGGUCUGGAUUCUGACACUGAAGCACGAAAGCGUGGGGAGCAAAUAGG
rnacentral:rRNA from 3 species